AAGACCUUGCGCUUUUGGAGCGGCCGAUGCCUGAUUAGCUUGUUGGUAAGGUAAAAGCUUACCAAGGCUUCGAUCAGUAGCUGGUCUGAGAGGACGACCAGCCACACUGGGACUGAGACACGGCCCAGACUCCUACGGGAGGCAGCAGUGGGGAAUUUUGGACAAUGGGGGCAACCCUGAUCCAGCCAUGCCGCGUGAGUGAAGAAGGCCUUCGGGUUGUAAAGCUCUUUCAGCCGGAACGAAACGGUUACGGAUAACACCCGUGACUACUGACGGUACCGGAAGAAGAAGCACCGGCUAACUACGUGCCAGCAGCCGCGGUAAUACGUAGGGUGCGAGCGUUAAUCGGAAUUACUGGGCGUAAAGCGCGCGCAGGUGGUUUUGUAAGUCAGAUGUGAAAGCCCCGGGCUCAACCUGGGAACU
rnacentral:rRNA from 1 species